GAGAGGGAGAGUGCGGCCGACGGUGGCACAUGCUCUGUGCUGCUGAGGAAAGUCCUCCCACCGGCCAGACACGCAGCCGCAUGCAAGUGCGGGUGGCGAGAGUCACGGCAAUGACACAGAAACGACACGGUCCGCCGUCAGUGAUGAAACGAUCGAGCCCUCCGGGCGAGCUUUGCGCGGGUUUCCGCGCGACUCGUUGAACGUAGCGGCGGGAUACGAUGAAACGGUGAACCCCUGCGGGUGCAAGCCAGAAUAGGGCAGACGGAUCGUCUGGUAUCCGCCCAGGUAUGGCGCGUAGCUGAAUGCCGCACAGAACAGAAGGAGGCUUACUCCUCCCACUC
rnacentral:RNase_P_RNA from 1 species